rnacentral:rRNA from 1 species
CGGUUGAUCCUGCCGGACCCUACUGCUAUCGGGGUGGGACUAAGACAUGCGAGUUGAGCGUCUCUAAAUGGUAGAGACGCGGCGUACGGCUCAGUAACACGUGGCUAACCUACCCUUAGGGCGGGGACAACCCCGGAAAACUGGGGCUAAUACCCGAAAGGCGAGGAGGCCUGGAAUGGUUCCUAGUCGAAAAGGCGUUGAAACCAAGGUUUCGACGUCGCCUAAGGAUGGGGCCGCGCCCGAUCAGGUUGUUGGUGGGGUAAAGGCUCACCAAGCCUAUAACCGGUACGGGCCGUGAGAGCGGGAACCCGGAGAUGGGCACUGAGACAAGGGCCCAGGCCCUACGGGGCACAGCAGUCCCAGGACCUCCGCAAUGCGCGUGAGCGUGACGGGGCUACCCCGAGGGCCGUCCGCUGAGGAUGGCUUUUCCGCGGUUUAUGCCGGGGGAAUUAGGAGAGGGCAAGUCUGGUGUCAGCCGCCGCUAAUUACCAGCUCUCCGAGUGGUAGGGGAGAUGAUUGGGCUUAAAGCGUCCAUAGCCGGCUUAGCAAGUCUCUUGUUAAAUUCAGCAAACAAUCGUUGAGCCGCGGGAGAUACUACUAGGCUAGGAGGCGGGAGAGGCCGACGGUAUUCUCGGGCGAGGGCUGAAAUCCUACAAACCCGGGAGGACCACCAGUAGCGGGGCUGUCGGCUAGAACGCGCUCAACGGUGAGGGGCGAGAGCUGGGGCAACGAACCGGAUCGGACACCCGGGUAGUCCCAGCUUUAAACGAUGCGGACUAGGUGUUGGGGUGGCUACGCGCCACUUCAGUACCGAAGGGAAGCCAUUAAGCCCGCCGCCUGGGGAGUAAGGCCGCAGGGCUGAAACUUAAAGGAAUUGGCGGGGGAGCAC